UACGAGGGGGGCGAGCGUUGUUCGGAAUUAUUGGGCGUAAAGGGUGCGUAGGCGGUUUGGUAAGUCUUAUGUGAAAUCUAUGGGCUCAACUCAUAGUCUGCAUGAGAAACUGCCGGGCUUGAGUAUGGGAGAGGUGAGUGGAAUUCCUGGUGUAGCGGUGAAAUGCGUAGAUAUCAGAAGGAACGCCGGCGGCGAAAGCGGCGCACUGGACCUUUUCUGACGCUGAGGCGCGAAAGCUAGGGGAGCAAACGGG
rnacentral:rRNA from 1 species